rnacentral:rRNA from 1 species
CCGUAGCCCAAGAGAUCGGGAUAACACCUGGAAACAGAUGCUAAUACCGGAUAACAACAGAUGAUGCCUAUCAACUGUUUAAAAGAUGGUUCUGCUAUCACUCUUGGAUGGACCUGCGGUGCAUUAGCUAGUUGGUAGGGUAACGGCCUACCAAGGCGAUGAUGCAUAGCCGAGUUGAGAGACUGAUCGGCCGCAUUGGGACUGAGACACGGCCCAAACUCCUACGGGAGGCAGCAGCC